GACGAACGCUGGCGGCGUGCUUAACACAUGCAAGUCGAACGGAAAGGCCCCUUUGGGGGUCCUCGAGUGGCGAACGGGUGAGUAACACGUGAGUAACCUGCCCUUGACUUCGGGAUAACUUCAUGAAACUGGGGCUAAUACCGGCUAGGAAUCCUUGCUGCAUGGUGGGGGUUGGAAAGCUUCGGCGGUUUUGGAUGGACUCACGGCUUAUCUGCUUGUUGGUGGGGUAGUGGCUUACCAAGGCUUUGACGGGUAGCCGGCCUGAGAGGGCGACCGGCCACAUUGGGACUGAGAUACGGCCCAGACGCCUACGGGAGGAAGCAGGGGGGAAUAUUGCAAAAUGGGCGGAAGCCUGAUGCAGCAACGCCGCGUGCGGGAUGACGGCCUUCGGGUUGUAAACCGCAUUCAGCAGGGGAGAAGCUUGUGGUGACGGUACCUGCAGAAGAAGCACCGGCUAACUACGUG
rnacentral:rRNA from 1 species